CACUGCUCUCUUGAAUUUUUAGAUCACUGCUCACUUUACUUUUUAUAUUGCCUAUCUUUCAGAUAAAUAGCCAACAUCCCUAGCUACUGAGGCUGGAACUUUGUUUGUGGAAAGCCAUGUCCUUGAUCAUUAUCAUGCUGAGAGGAUAAGAUGAAUUUGAUGUGCUUCCUUUUGAAGUUGACCAAUAGUAACAUUUUUUAUUUCAAUAAUCCUUUGAAUUUUUGGAUUAAUGGAAUAAGCUCCUGAUGACUUUUGAAUUUUUCCAAAGAUUUGGAGACAUCUAAUAAGCCUUCUUAAUUCUUUGAUCUUAACUUUUAAUUCUGUAAGUCUGAAGCUGCAAGAUUUCUUGAAACAAAUAGACAUGUCAAGCUGCAGUGAUAAUAAGAAUAAUUUUGAGAAUUCUUUUCAUUCUUUUGAUUCUAUCAUUUCUUUUUUCAAUUCCAGCCAACGUCCACUUGACAUAAGGAAGAUCAGCUUCUCCUGGAGUAUUAAUGAUUUUUUGAGCAAAAUCAAGAAGAAAAUCAACUUGAGUGGUUUCUUCUCUUAUCUCGUUUAUGAUAUGCUUUAAAUAAGCCUUCAUCUCUGUCUUCCUGAAAAACCCUGUCAUCAAAAAUCAUAAGGGUCUUGUCCCCCAAUAGGGUCUGAGGAGACGGAUUCUUCAGAUCUUGAUUUUGAAGAGGCAGACUUUUGUGCAAGAUACUCAAAGAAUUCUUUCUUGAUAUUUUCUCGUAAAUCAUUCAUAUAAGUAUCCAUUUUUGGUUUUGAGCUGCUGGCUUUUUGGGUUGCUUCAGUCUUUUCUUUUCCAUUUCCAUUUUUUUGAUAAACUACCUUUUCUCAUGUGGUUAGAAAAUGUCUAACAACUGGUUCGGCUCCAGUAUGAUCUUGGAACCUUGCCCACCAUUUGACUUUAUAGACCCUUGUCAAAGAAUAAGGGGUAGGGCCUGGAUAAAUUUUCUCAAAAUUGAAAUCCCAUGCAAAAAUCCAAGGAGUCUGAAUCCACUAGAAUGAACUCAUUAUACUUUUGAUCUUUCGAAUGAUCAUCAGAUUCCCAAAGUUGGGAAGGAUUUUUGGAAAGUUAUUUCUGAUAAAAUCUUUUUGAGAAAGAUUUGCUGGAUAUUCAGAAAAAGUGGUCAUUCCACAAUCAUCAUGCCAUUCUUUGGCAGUAUAUUUGUAGACUUCAGGAGUGUUUGAGAUCUGGAUAUUAGUGGGUUUUGGUAGGUUUGAAGCAAGAAUUGUGUUAUAAGGAAUUUCUGGUAAAUUUUGAAUUGGAGAGAAUCGGUUUGGGAUAAUUUGAUUGGUUUUUUGAGGAGUGACUGGAGUUGAGGAUGAAACAAGGGCAUUUGAGGUGAGCUUUGAUGAAAAAACUUCAUAGUCUUUAGCACUUUGUAUCUUCUUUUUUCUAGAUACCAUCACUGUUUCCUUUUAAAAAUUCUCUGGUUAGAAAAUCAGGUAGAGAAUUAUUUUCUCCUUUUAUAAAUUCAAUUUCAAAAUCAAAAACAGAAAGAAUAGCUUGCCAUCUGGCAAAUAUUUGCUUUGAAAUAAUAUUUUGAACAUCUUUUGUAAGAACUUCUUUUGCUGAUUUACAAUCUAUUCUGAAUAAUUUUUUUUUAUUAUAGAGGUCAUCUUGAAAUUUUGAGAUACAUAAAACAAUGGAUAAAAUUUCCUUUUUAAUAACGGAAUAAUUCAUUUGUGCAUUAUUCCAGAUUCCAGAGUGAUACCUAACCAAUUGUUCUUUUGAAUCAAUUUUUUGUUUUAAAAUUCCUCCGUACCCUAGAUUUGAGACAUCUGUUUCUAUAAUCAUAAAGGCUUCUGGAUUAGGGAUGCCUAAGCAAGGGAGAGUUUUAACUUGUUGUUUAUGGUUUUGACAAUAUUAGUGUGUUCUUCUGUCCAAUUAGGAGGGUUUUUCUUAAGCCUUUGAUAAAGAAGGUUGCACGUUUCUCUAAGGUUAGGAAAGAAGUCUGAAAUGUAAUUCAGAGAUCCUAGAAAUCUUUGUAAUUGAUUUUUAUCUCUGAUUUCAUCGGGGAAUUUGUCUAUGAAAGAUAUCGACCUACUGAUAGGUUUGAAAGUUCCUUUGCUAAUUUCAUGUCCUAAAAAUCUAAAAUUGGUUUGAAACAGUUUUAAUUUGGGGUAGACAUAGCUAAUCCAUUCUUUUCUAUGGUUUUUAGGAAAAUGUCUAAAUGUUUGAUAUGUUGAUCAAUAUCUUGGGAGAAAAUUAAAAUAUCAUCAAUAUAGACAAUACUAAAUUGACUAUGAGGAUUCAUGAUAUCAUUCAUGACCUUUUGAAAUUCUGAAGUGGAAUUCUUUAACCCAAAGGGCAUGACAUUCUAUUCGUAUUUUAGGAAGAAAUAAGUGAGUCUGUUAUCAAGAGACCAUAAGACAUAUUUGACAAGAAAGAUAUGAUGAAUAUGUGUGCUGAACAAGUAUGCUCUGGCGUGGAAAUUAUGAGAAUUUGGAAUAUAUAUAUAUAUAUAUAUAUAUAUAUAUAUAUAUAUUUUGUAAUAAUAAAUCAAGAUGAUAAGGAAAUGAUAUUAAGAAUGAAAUAUCUGAAGAGACAUAAGUAAGAAAUAUGGAAAAGUUGUAUGACGAAAGUACAAAUAAGUUUGAUAUAAUGAGAUUGUUAGAAAUUUUGGAAAUCUGUGAAACUGAAAUAAAAACAAGUAAAUGAUUAAAAAUGAAAUAAUAUAGUUAUUAUAGUUACUAUUGUCUUAGCUGAAAGGGUUGGAUUCUGUAGUUUGGAUAUUGCUACUGGGCUUUCGAGCUCACUCCCUCUUCUUUUUCCCCCCUGCAGGUUAGAGUUGAUAUUCUGUCAGUGGUGUUGAGCAGCUUUGCACAUCUUUGACGGGUCACUGGUGGUCAACUUGGUUUAGUGGUCGUGACAUGUUGUGUAUUAGUUAAAUCUUUAAUCUUCCGCUGGAUAAAUAUUAAUUUUUUAAAAAAAUGUAAUAGAUUUUAAUUGUUCUUUUAAGCUAAAAAGAAAAAGGAAAACUUCAGCACGGGUUUUCGAUACUGAAACGUGACAUCACUUAUUCGGUGGGUUUACCUACCCGGUAAGGGGUGUUAUAGUAUCAUUCUAGUUGCUAUCUCAUGUCUUGCUCAUUGAGGUGUUUGAAAGUGGCAGUGGCUCGAAUUUUAGUUUCCAAAAUUUUCUUUUUGUUUUUCUAACUCAAAAUUGAAAAUAAGAGCAUGCUUGCGGUUUUAGUUACUACAUGAACAUUUCAUUAGGAGGUUGGAGGUGUUUUACCUCUUGAAACGGCUGCUGAUCUUAAGACUCGCAGCCCUUUCGCUUGCGUUGUCGGUUUCCCCUUUUGAUAAGUUAGGAAGAGAGUGAGUUGAGUUUUGAGCACCAAAGAAUACUUAUGGAAAGAAAGAAAGGCUUGUUAGCUAUGUGGACAGGGGCUGCCUCUGUGCAAGAAUCUGUUGGAAGCUCUCCUUCACUCACUCAAACCCUACGCUUCAAGUUAGUUAUGUGGCAGAAUUUUCGAAAUGAGUGGGAGGGGAAUUUGAUGAGUGUGGAAGGGUCUUUAUAGGGGAAGAGUGUGUACUCGUGAGCCUUUAAUUGGGCUGCUGUAUUUCCUUGUCUUCUUCCUGUAGCAUAUCCCCUUUUUCUUGAUUUUUGCAGCCACUUUAACUGAAAUCCUUAGUGGUGAUUUUGCAGGUGUACAACAAAGGAGGUUGGCAAUUAAGAGAAUUGUCUUGAUUUGUAGGUGUGGAAAGGAGGUUGGCUGUCAUUGCUGGGGUAUAACAGGGGUCUGGCCGGCUGCUCUCGGCCGUGGCCCGUUCAGCUCGGCCCGUAGAGCGUGUGAUUUUUCCUUGGGCUCGAAGGACGCAGGACCAAUAUUUAACAAUCCUAAAAUUGUAAUAGAAUAGUGCCUUUACAAGUUCUUCUUUCCAUUCUCAAAUAACACGUGAAUCAUUUAUAGAAGUUAAUAUAUAUUGUUCUCGAGCACUCGUAGUUCGGAAUAAAAAUACCAUCGUUCUCCCUUCUCUA